rnacentral:rRNA from 1 species
AGCCUCUAGCGAGCUGGUACAUGGCCCGUACCCCAAACCGACACAGGUGGUCAGGUAGAGAAUACUAAGGCGAUCGAGAGAACUGUGGUUAAGGAACUCGGCAAAAUGCCCCCGUAACUUCGGGAGAAGGGGGACCAGUCCUGGUGACGACAUUUACUGUCUGAGCUGGGGUUGGUCGCAGAGACCAGAGAGAAGCGACUGUUUACUAAAAACACAGGUCCGUGCGAAGUCGUAAGACGAUGUAUACGGACUGACGCCUGCCCGGUGCUGGAAGGUUAAGAGGACCGGUCAGCCACUUCGGUGGCGAAGCUGAGAAUUUAAGCCCCAGUAAACGGCGGUGGUAACUAUAACCAUCCUAAGGUAGCGAAAUUCCUUGUCGGGUAAGUUCCGACCUGCACGAAUGGCGUAACGACUUCUCUGCUGUCUCAACCACAGACUCGGCGAAAUUGCAGUACGAGUAAAGAUGCUCGUUACGCGCGGCAGGACGAAAAGACCCCGGGACCUUCACUAUAGCUUGGUAUUGGUGUUCGGUUCGGUUUGUGUAGGAUAGGUGGGAGACUGUGAAACUCGCACGCCAGUGUGGGUGGAGUCAUUGUUGAAAUACCACUCUGACCGUAUUGGACAUCUAACCUCGGACCAUGAUCUGGUUCAGGGACAGUGCCUGGUGGGUAGUUUAACUGGGGCGGUUGCCUCCUAAAAAGUAACGGAGGCGCCCAAAGGUUCCCUCAGCCUGGUUGGCAAUCAGGUGUUGAGUGUAAGUGCACAAGGGAGCUUGACUGUGAGACGUACAUGUCGAGCAGGGACGAAAGUCGGGACUAGUGAUCCGGCACCGGCAAGUGGAAGCGGUGUCGCUCAACGGAUAAAAGGUACCCCGGGGAUAACAGGCUGAUCUUCCCCAAGAGUCCAUAUCGACGGGAUGGUUUGGCACCUCGAUGUCGGCUCGUCGCAUCCUGGGGCUGGAGUAGGUCCCAAGGGUUGGGCUGUUCGCCCAUUAAAGCGGCACGCGAGCUGGGUUUAGAACGUCGUGAGACAGUUCGGUCUCUAUCCGCCGCGCGCGUAAGAAACUUGAGGAAACCUGUCCCUAGUACGAGAGGACCGGGACGGACGAACCUCUGGUGUGCCAGUUGUUCCACCAGGAGCACCGCUGGUUAGCUACGUUCGGAAGGGAUAACCGCUGAAAGCAUCUAAGCGGGAAGCCUGUUCCAAGAUGAGGUUUCUCACCACCUAGCGUGGUUAAGGCCCCCCACAGACCAUGGGGUUGAUAGGCCAGAACUGU